GGUGCUGGAUAUGAUAUCAUUAUAUCCAGUAUGAUAGAUGGAGCAACUCUACUUGACUGUGAUGUUCAAUAUCGGCUAGAGCUUUGAAAUAAAAAAUGACAAUAAUUAAAUUAACAAAUAUGCAAGAUAUGAGAAUACAUAUAAAAGAUAAAAUAAAGGAUUAUAACAAAGGCAUGGGUACAAACAUUCAUUUUAUAGUCAUUGUUGAUGAAAGCCCUCCAACAUAUGAUGAAUUUCCUACACA
rnacentral:lncRNA from 1 species